GUCAAGAUGGCCGAGUGGUCUAAGGCGCUGCACUCAAGUUGCAGUAUCGAAAGAUGCCUGGGUUCAAAUCCCAGUUUUGACA
rnacentral:tRNA from 1 species